CGCUGGCGGCGUGCCUAACACAUGCAAGUCGAACGGGAUCCAUACUAUGAAGUCUUCGGAUGGAUUAGUAUGGUGAGAGUGGCGGACGGGCGAGUAACGCGUGAGCAACCUGCCCUAUACUGGGGGAUAACACCGGGAAACCGGUGCUAAUACCGCAUAAGACUACGAGAUCGCAUGGUUUUGUAGUCAAAGCUCCGGCGGUAUAGGAUGGGCUCGCGUCCAAUUAGCUAGUUGGUGAGGUAACGGCCCACCAAGGCGACGAUUGGUAGCCGAACUGAGAGGUUGAUCGGCCGCAUUGGGACUGAGACACGGCCCAGA
rnacentral:rRNA from 1 species